GGGACGGCUCUGAAAUGGAUGGACAAUUCUUCCUCAUCUCAGUUCAUCUGUGCUAGCAGCUCUUCAAGUUCUGGUCGAGCCUUUAAUCGGAUCUUGAAGUCUGCUUCUGUGUGCUGUGGAGAGAGGAAAGAACAGUGAGAAAUCACAUUUUGGAAGAGUGAGCAUUGCUUUAUGCUAAGAGUCAACCAGACCUCUCCAGCUCUGCCACUGCCUAUCACCACAGUACCUACUUUCUUGAGGAGAGCUGCCGCUUUUUCUCCAGAGCUUCGUAAGAGCAUCCCAAAGCCUUAAGCUCUCUUCUACAUUGCCAGUCUCAUGAAACCAGCUUGGGUCUCUCCCUUGGGCUUCCUGCCUCAGACUGCAAUGACUUUGCAGAUGGCACAAUGUCACAGUCCUCCCUCCAGAGACAAGAACCAUUAGCCAAAAUUAAAAAAGAAAUGGCAGCCCUAAGGCAGAGAGACAGGACUGUGACCAAAGCAGAGAAGAUUACUGGACUCGGGAGACCUUCUCCUAUAUUCCGUGUUUUUCCAGAGCUAGAGAUAACUAAACAUUCUUCAAAGGCCACUAAGAAGCCAACGGUAUUUUCAUACUUGAAUUUAAUGCAUCUUCCAGCUCCAAAAUCUUUUAGUCCUUGAAUAAACAGGGCUCCCAGGACUGUUUUGUCUGAAUGUAAAACAAGGGUUUAAAUAUCUCCCUAUCCCCAGUCUAGUAAGAGGUGUGGCCCAAGAGCAAAGCUCUGGCCUGAAGUCCUCAGUGCUCUGGUAACUGGUGAGAGGUCCUGCAGAAGACAAGCAUAACCCCUCCCAGAGCAAACUCCAUGAGAGCAGGACCCAGGAUUUGGGUUUUGAGUCUUAACUUUACUACCAACUGCUCCAUGAAGUUCCUGGUGAUUCCCAGGAGAGAGGCUGUGGAGCACUGCUAAAGGAAAGUAUUUCCUCCUGAGCCACAGGGAAUCCGCAGGAGCAAAGGAAAGCAGCUUGCAACCUGCAUCUCUUAGAGAUCUACAGAAUUGGCUGGGAAAGCACCUUCUGUGGCCCUACUUCUUUCCAUUUCCAAAUGGAAAACAAAACAAAAUAGAUUACCAGUAUUGGGGGUUUUUUUACAGACUAAGAGAGGCCAAGUUCUGGGAGACACUGGGUAUCUGUAAAUCAACAGUAGACACUGGCAGUCUUGGGACAAAGUCUGUAGUUUCAAAGCAAAUCCAUCCCAUACAUAGCAACUGCUUGCUUUUUUUCAUUUUCAAUCUUUUUUUCUGCAUUGGUAAAAUUAAACGUACCUCUUUCACUAACAGAUGGACCCCUUCAGGCUGAUUACUCUGAAUAACUUCCAAGAGUAUUGGAGCAAAUGUCGAACUCAAACCGCUGAUCUGAAAGCAGAAAUAAAGUACUGCAGGAGCGAAACACCCCGAAUAUAAAAUGGACUCGUUAUACUAAUGGCCCAGGAAAAGAGUCCAUUCCAGUACGAGCCUGCGGCAGUCUAUCACUCCAUUAGAGAAGCACUCCCUACAUCAGCGUGCACAUCUGACACACGGCACAGCCCAAAGCUCUCGUUUUGGCUCUCCUCUGUGAGCACUGUGCUGCCUGUCCCUGCCCGCACCGUCUCCUCUGCCUCUGUGACAGCUUUCACCACGGCGGGUUCUGCCGUAGGCAGCCACCACUGUUCCCCUGCUCAGUAAAAAUACAUUUCUUGCCUCUUUUCCAUGCUGUGGAGAUGCAGGAACUCACAUUAACUCUCUCCAGUUAAAAAUGUCUACCUGUAGGUUUAAAGUCCAGCUUCACAGAGGUUUAGCACACAGCAAGUGAACACACUAACAAUAAGGAAAGAGUCACUUAGAAGAAAUACCUACCUACCUCAAUGGUUACUUGGGCACUUUUGAAACUGGUCAUGAUACUGAUGGUAUUUCUAAUUUUCGUCAUGUCUGUGCAAUCAUUCAUCCUUAAACACAACUUUUCUACUCUUUGUAUCUUAUGGCUGAAAUUGAGAAGCCAGGAAUCCCAUCUCUCCGUCUUCUACUUUGUGAGUAACCUUUAGCAAGAGAUCUAAUUAGGCUUUUUAGAGAGUCAAUUUACACACAAUUAUGCCUUCCGUUUGAUCAAGGGACUUAACUCCUAUUGUUAACGGGUUUCGAGAGCCUGAAAUAUGAAGUGCUGCACAAGUGCAGCAGCGCUAUCAGCAAACGCCAGCUCAUACCUGGACAACCCUCUGAUGGGUAGUGAGGACCGCAUCCAGCUGCAUUUUGGAACCUCGCUCUUCCGAGAACAGCACUUCAUUGGUCUUGGUGGGCAUCGCAUAGCUGCAGGAAGCAUAGGUCAAGUAUUCAGGACAGGGAGGAUAGAUUUGCACUGCUUUACAGGAAUGAAUCAACUUCCAGCAGCAGGGAAUGUGGAAGAAGAUUAAGUUUUCAUAAGGAAUUAAUUAUGCAAACAAUGUAUCUUGCAAAUCAAGCAUGGGCAGAAGCCGGGUGUUUUACUGGAGAGAGAUAAGGGAGAAGUUGGCAGCACUACUGCCAGCAAAGACCUCUUUCAGCUGUAAGUACCAGCCUAAGAACUUUAUUUAAUUUCUUUAUUGUUGAAGGAGAGCUGGAAAGCAAAAGUGAUGACUUCUUUUGUAAUAGUCUGUUUAUCCUCAUCAGCAGUUAUACCCUUCACACUGGUCAGGAACACAGCUAAGAGACAUUGCUGCAACACACCACUCAGAAGACAUUAUUUUCACCUACGUGAAUUUAACGGGUGUAAGAUCAUGCACUAGGUCUGUUCUCUUUUUAUCCAUGUUAAUGCACAGACCUCAGUCUCCCCAUCUGAUUUUCACAGUAUCAAUAACAGACUACAUCCUACUAGCUGCACAAGAGGACAAUUUUACGGUCCAGGACAGGACGCUCACUGCAUUUGGGUUCAUUACCUCUGUCUGCUACAGAGUUCCUGGGCAAUUCUGAGCAAACCAUAUAACCUUUACCUGCUUCAGUUUCUCAUCUGCAGAGAGGGACAAAAAUACUCCCUUCUCCUACAUUUUGCCUGAUCCAUUUUUCUGUUAAAGAACAAACUGUAUCUUUCUGCACAUGCUGAACUUUGCACACCAAGUCCAACCUUGGAGGGCACAAGUACGAGGCAGGAUAAUAACGCUUUACAUUUAAAGUGCUAUAAAUAGCCUCAGGCUGCAGGAUUUCUCUGGGAAUGCUUUCAAGCUCAUCACAGUGGACAGCGUUAUAAUUUCUGAGUGUCACCGGGUACGCUUCCUGAAAUGGACACCUAGCAAAGCCGCGGACGUGUCACAGCUUUUAGUGCUGUUUGGUGCAAAAGAUGUCACAGAGAGAGACUACAUGCUAUUGAUCUGUGGACACAGGAUUUCAGAUCCAAAGCUGACAGUUCAGCAAGGUGGAUGAAUGUGAAGGAAAUGAUUUUUUGAUAGGUUUAAUAAGCAUGAAGCAGGAACCAGCGUUUAUACUCAGAGGUGAAGAUACACAUUUCAGGUAAUUUGGAUAAUUUCAGACCAUUAGCUGUUCUGCUUCAGUACAGCAACGCAGUGUUUCUCCCAGUGACCACAGCUCCUCAAAGCACACUGCAGGAACCAACGAGCUCUGCCAUGUUCCUCAGACUCAUUCACACCUGCAAAGCUGCUCCCGGAUAGACCUGAAUCAGAGAUCUCGUGUGCAACUGAGGCAUCCUCCACUAAAGCACCCACUGCUAAACUAGAGGUGCGUGUGGCUCUCCCAGAGUCCUCACUGCAGCGGUUUCCCGAGCUCAUUCUAGCUGGUCUGUAUGGCAACCACUGCCUGCUCCACAACAUGCAAACAGAGGAAAGAGCCUGGAUGAAAUGACGGCAAGAAAGAACAGUGGGAAAACUCGGCAACACUCCUGCCUGCAUUUCUAGGCUCCGCGCCCACAGGCUUAUGCACUUUUCUCAAAGGGAUGAAAAAUAACAGCUAUUUUUCCCUUGAGAUUUAUUCAUUCAGUGUCUUAACAAUUCUAUUUCAGGCUUACGUGAAUAAGUUUCCAAAACUGUACAGACAAAUGAGACAGAUACAAGGGAACACCAGGCAGAUGACAGAAGAUUGAGAUUUACGUGCAUCUAGCACAAGAUUGUACUGUGUCCUUGUGUGCAAGGAUCACCAACCAUGAGCCUCACAUGGCCUAAUGCACUGCAACCGCAAGGGAUGACAAACACACAGAGCCACGUUCUUUAUACCUUUCAUUGACCUUAAUGGAGAGUCGGUUGCAGAGUUUAUGCACGUAUCGAGCAAAAUGCUCCACAAGACACAUAUCAUAGGAAGUCAUCUGAAUGUUGAUGUCUCCAUACUCAUACUCAGUCCCAACAUUUAUCUCUUUCAUCUGUAUUCUGUCCUUUCUCCUCUUUGGAGCCUGUAUUAAAAAAAAAAAAAAAAAAAAAGGCAGAUCUGGUUUGGACACAGCUUGAAAUAAAAAAACAUUAACUCUUGCCCAACACAGGAGACUAUGCUA